AUUACCAUCUUACUGGGCAGCAUUGGAUGUUUUCUGUCUUUCUAAUACUGCCUGGUAAUGAUGAUGAU
rnacentral:pre_miRNA from 1 species